AAAACUAAAUUGUGAUAAUAAAACUUUUUCCAAAAGAAAAAUCUGUUCUUAUCAGUUUAAUAUCUGAUAUUAAAUGGAUUUUUCGAACAGGGAGUCGGAAAUGGGGCUUGCUCCGUCCGCUCCACGCAUCGACCCGGUAUUGCAGUACCUCCGGGAACGGUGCACCACUU
rnacentral:snRNA from 1 species